rnacentral:lncRNA from 1 species
UGCUCCUAGCUCAUAACAAUAUGGUACACUUUAAUUAACUUAUUUUAUGCCUUUCGGUUUACUUGUACCCUAUCUAUUUUUCAUUUUAUGAUAUAGUGUCUUCCGAUAGCAGUCAUAUAUUGAUACUCAUGUGCAUUAUCAAGAUCUGAGUUUCCAAAGUAAAAUAAAUAGCAACAUGUCCAUAGUAGUUUUCUAGAUUAAACUAGCCAUUAUAUAUUUAAUUUGUUGUCUUUUUUUUUUGUUAGGAAUGUGUCCAGAUUACUUUCACAAUAUAUCUGAUGUCCUGCCCCACAUUUUCAAACUUGUAGACCCUUGUACUCAACUAUUACUGGUGUGGAUCUCUAGAUUCACUACUACAGAACAGGCCUUUGGUCACUUGCCCAAAAUGAACAAUAAUCUCGGCCAAAACAGAGUCCGGGACAAAAACAUAUUUAGUCCCCUGCCCAACGGCUAUUAUGUCAGACAUCGGCAGAGGGGACUUUUAGUCCCGGUUGGUCUCACCAACCGGGACAAAAGCCUAGCCUUUAGUCCCGGUCCGUCCCACCGGUCGGGACUAGCGUUGGAAUUUAGUCUCGGUUUUUAAAAGGAAUCGGGACUAAAUGUCCCUCCCCAUAUUUGAACUCUUCUUCCCGUGGCCGAGCCCAUCGAUCUUCACUCUUUUGCUGUGUUCUUCAUUUGGAGUUGCUUGUUCUAGCUUGCUCUCAUCUCCGGCUAUUGAUUCAUUUCAUCGUUUCUACAUCAUCAUCGACUUGUUAAGAGGUCACUAGCUUCAUCUUCUCAACAUUUAGAAGCGGCGUAUGUCAUUUCCUAGUGUUAUGUAUAUUAUUUUUUAUUUUAUGGUUUUUUUAAGAGGUUAUUAGCUUCAUCGCCAUUUCAAAAGCGACGCGUUUUUUAUAGAAAUAGUGGUAAUAUGUUUUUUAUUUUAAUUAGUUUAGAAAAAAAUAAAACAUAUAAUACUUUAAUUUGCAAUUUUUGACCGAUUUAGUUAGUUAAUUAUAACUAGUAUACAUACCACAUUUCAUGAUUAUUUAAGAAAAAAGAGAAUUUUUGUGCUUUUUUAAUUUAGCUUGUUU